rnacentral:rRNA from 1 species
AUUGAACGCUGGCGGCAUGCUUUACACAUGCAAGUCGAACGGUAACAGGCCGCAAGGUGCUGACGAGUGGCGAACGGGUGAGUAAUGCAUCGGAACGUGCCCAGUCGUGGGGGAUAACUACUCGAAAGAGUAGCUAAUACCGCAUACGAUCUAUGGAUGAAAGCGGGGGACCGUAAGGCCUCGCGCGAUUGGAGCGGCCGAUGUCAGAUUAGGCAGUUGGUGGGGUAAAGGCUCACCAAGCCAACGAUCUGUAGCUGGUCUGAGAGGACGACCAGCCACACUGGGACUGAGACACGGCCCAGACUCCUACGGGAGGCAGCAGUGGGGAAUUUUGGACAAUGGGCGCAAGCCUGAUCCAGCAAUGCCGCGUGCAGGAAGAAGGCCUUCGGGUUGUAAACUGCUUUUGUACGGAACGAAACGGCUCUGGUUAAUACCCGGGGCUAAUGACGGUACCGUAAGAAUAAGCACCGGCUAACUACGUG